UACGAAGGGUGCGAGCGUUGUUCGGAAUUAUUGGGCGUAAAGGGUUCGUAGGCAGAGAUGUAAGUCAAGUGUGAAAUCCCCGAGCUAAACUUGGGACGUGCAUUUGAAACUGUGUUUCUUGAGUAUCGGAGAGGGUGGUGGAAUUGUAGGUGUAGGAGUGACAUCCGUAGAGAUCUGCAGGAACAUCAGAGGCGAAGGCGACCACCUGGCCGAAGACUGACGCUGAGGAACGAAAGCGUGGGGAGCAAACAGG
rnacentral:rRNA from 1 species